AGUGAACGCUGGCGGUAGGCCUAACACAUGCCAGUCGAACGGCAGCACAGUAAGAGCUUGCUCUUACGGGUGGCGAGUGGCGGACGGGUGAGGAAUACAUCGGAAUCUACUUUUUCGUGGGGGAUAACGUAGAGAAACUUACGCUAAUACCGCAUACGACCUACGGGUGAAAGCAGGGGAUCUUCGGACCUUGCGCGAUUGAAUGAGCCGAUGUCGGAUUAGCUAGUUGGCGGGGUAAAGGCCCACCAAGGCGACGAUCCGUAGCUGGUCUGAGAGGAUGAUCAGCCACACUGGAACUGAGACACGGUCCAGACUCCUACGGGAGGCAGCAGUGGGGAAUAUUGGACAAUGGGCGCAAGCCUGAUCCAGCCAUACCGCGUGGGUGAAGAAGGCCUUCGGGUUGUAAAGCCCUUUUGUUGGGAAAGAAAAGCAGCAGGUUAAUACCCCGCUGUUCUGACGGUACCCAAAGAAUAAGCACCGGCUAACUUCGUG
rnacentral:rRNA from 1 species